GUGGGGAAUAUUGCACAAUGGGGGAAACCCUGAUGCAGCAACGCCGCGUGAGUGAUGACGGUCUUCGGAUUGUAAAACUCUGUCUUUGGGGACGAUAAUGACGGUACCCAAGGAGGAAGCCACGGCUAACUACGUGACAGCAGCCGCGGUAAUACGUAGGUGGCAAGCGUUGUCCGGAUUUACUGGGCGUAAAGGGAGCGUAGGUGGAUAUUUAAGUGGGAUGUGAAAUACUCGGGCUUAGCCUGAGUGCUGCAUUCCAAACUGGAUAUCUAGAGUGCAGGAGAGGAAAGUAGAAUUCCUAGUGUAGCGGUGAAAUGCGUAGAGAUUAGGAAGAAUACCAGUGGCGAAGGCGACUUUCUGGACUGUAACUGACACUGAGGCUCGAAAGCGUGGGGAGCAAACAGGAUUAGAUACCCGGGUAGUCC
rnacentral:rRNA from 1 species